rnacentral:lncRNA from 1 species
UUGAUUUGCAAUCGCUUGAAAAUAUCCAAAAAUCGAGCGUAUUGACUUUCUUUAUCCUUUUUGGUUGGAACAUGAGGGUAUGGUAGGUUUGUACUGGUGGAUUUAUCAUUUUUCCUUUUUCUUCCUUUGUUCUCUUAUUUUUUCGCCCUUCAUUCGUUUCUUUCUCAUUUCUACCUUUUCUCUCUUGCUCCUUUUCAAAUAAUUCUCCUUUAUUAUUGUUUUCUCCUUCUUUC